rnacentral:rRNA from 1 species
CCUACGGGUGGCAGCAGUGGGGAAUAUUGGGCAAUGGGCGCAAGCCUGACCCAGCAACGCCGCGUGCAGGAAGAAGGCUUUCGGGUUGUAAACUUCUUUUCUCAGGGACGAAGCAAGUGACGGUACCUGAGGAAUAAGCCACGGCUAACUACGUGCCAGCAGCCGCGGUAAUACGUAGAUGGCAAGCGUUAUCCGGAUUUACUGGGUGUAAAGGGCGUGUAGGCGGGACUGCAAGUCAGAUGUGAAAACCAUGGGCUCAACCUAUGGACUGCAUUUGAAACUGUAGUUCUUGAGUACUGGGGAGGCAGGCGGAAUUCCUAGUGUAGCGGUGAAAUGCGUAGAUAUUAGGAGGAACACCAGUGGCGAAGGCGGUCUGCUGUACAGCAACUGACGCUGAGGCGCGAAGGCGUGGGGAGCGAACAGGAUUAGAUACCCCUGUAGUC